rnacentral:lncRNA from 7 species
GCGGGCGGUGGUGGGCUGUUGUGGGCCGUGGCUGCGUGUGGUGGUUUUGCCGCUGAGUACGCAUGUUUGGCUCUGGUCUGUUCCGUGUAUCUGCGGAAUAAUUUGAGAUUAGGGUCAGGAUCUGUAACCUUCGGAGCUGUGUGUGCAUUGUUGUCUGCGUGCAUGUUGCUUUGAAUAUUUUCCAGCACUGCUCAGGUUAGAAUUCCAGUGUGGCGACAGGAGCCCUGCUGGCAUGCUGUGUGCUCACAGCAACUUCACAGUGAAUUAAAGAAGUUUUGUCCUCCACAGCGCUUCUAACCAAUUGUCAAGUGUUACAGUUUCUUCUUCCAUUUCCUUUUAUGGGGUAUGCUUGCUGAUUCAUACAACAGUGUCUUGUAGCUACAACUCUGCAUUCUGACCAAGACUAUUACUGUAGUGAUGGGUAGUGAAAAGUAAAGCCAACUGGAAUGAUUUUCUGUGAAGAGAAAGGGAAGUGCUAUGCUGAAAUUAAGAAUCAAACACAAGAAAUUUCUCUCCUAAUCAACAGUUGACACUCACAUGACCCUAGAAGAACUCCAGCAUGUCAGAAAUUGUACUGGUGCAGCAGAAGAUGUGACCUCUGUCUGGAAAACCUUGCCUUGUACAUCUAAAAGUGUAGAGAAAAUAUAGACACUGACAAGUGAAGAGAGUAAGAAGACACUGAGUUAGUAAUGAGAAACAUGCUUGUGGAUGAGCCGUACAAAUUCCUGAGCUGCGGUGAUAUUGUCCUGAAUAUGAGCAUGAAAAGUAUAUUUCCUGCCUAUACUAUUAUUAGUAGGCUUCUUCACUAUAUUGCUAUAGUCAUGGAUGGCAGUGCUAUGCCCUGUGCCAUUCACCAUGCCAAUCACACAGACAGAGCGUAUAUGCCUGUGGCAAUCACACAGACAGAGCAUAUAUGCCUGUGGCAUUUAUGUGCCUCAUAAGUCACUCUGAAUCAUCAUCAUUGCACUUCCUCUGCCCCUCCUUUGCUUAAGGCCCUUGGCUUUUUCUCAGCUCCAAUGUGAUGCUUCCCAAUGUGAAAGGUUUCAUACCUUUGACAUGGGUUAAUAUUGAAAAUACUGAUUUAUAUAUGUCACAUAUUUAUGUCACCUAGAUGCGUGUAUUGAAAGUCAAUGUGAUUUAGUCUCCUAACUCAAUUCCUUUUGAAAUGUUACCUUUGGUGAUCCCAUGUAUUUGAUGAAAAAUGCAGUUGUAGAUAUAAUUUUGAGUUAGUUGAUAACCUAGGUGAGCAAAUGUUAUGAUUUUAAGCAGCUGUAGAGAAAUUAGCAGAUGUGGUUUUAUAGCCAUAUACAUCUGAUCAUUGUCUCCCAGCAUAAACACGCAUUGAAACCUUAUUCUUGUCUAUUACAAACAAGAGCAAACAGAAGUGCAUAUAAACUGGAAUACCAUGAAAGCACGGUCAAGGAGAAUGUCCUACAUUAAAGUUUUUUUGCAAAAUACAAAAUUGGCUUGCAAAUAUUCCAGAUCUAUGUCCUUUCUAAGAAUGAUCUCUGCUAUUUCCCAUUCAGUAACGAGAUCUGUUCAAUCUACACUUGGUUUUUAUUUUCACAUUUUUUCCAGAUAUCUGCGUGACUGAAUUUUCCUGGUUAAAAAAAUAUGUAUAGUUAAUGCUGUCAUCUUCACUGCCAUGCUUUAAUUGGGAAAUUCAGCUUCUGUACUGAAGCAGCUAUGUAAGAGUGAGCUGACAAAAGUGUUUUUUCUAGAGCUUCCAAACAGAUCUGUGCAAGGAGUAACUGUGCAGAUAAUUAAAGGAUGCUUUUUGUAGAAAGCGUUUUCCAAGUUAUUCUGCAUUUAAAUACCUGAGGUCAGCUUUGCUUUUUAGGAGAUUUGAACUGUCUCUUCCCUUCCGAAGAACAAUUUAAUCAUGUGCUCAAUCCUUUUAAAGUGACUAGGUGGAAUUUUAAGUGUCAGAAUACUGAAAAAGUAAUUCAGCUAUGGAGCUGGUAUCAUUCUGUUGGUUUGAGUUCAACCCUACAUGAGAGCAUUAAUUAGCUUCAGUUCAUGAAGCAAGCUCACAAUGACUGAAUUUCUUGAUUGAUAUUGUCCUUUAAAGUGAUUUCCAUUCCUUUUUUUUAACAGUGUCCAAGUGCUUUGUGGAAUUGAACUAAUCUAGUAAGAUAUUAAUUAGCCUUUUCCCCUCAAAUUUAUGUAGGAUACACAGAAUUUUGAAAAUUCUUAGAUCCCUUUCCUCAGACAAGCUUUGGAUUUUUGUGCAGUAGUUAACACCAGCUAGGG